rnacentral:rRNA from 1 species
CUACGUGCCAGCAGCCGCGGUAAUACGGAAGGUCCAGGCGUUAUCCGGAUUUAUUGGGUUUAAAGGGAGCGUAGGCUGGAGAUUAAGUGUGUUGUGAAAUGUAGACGCUCAACGUCUGAAUUGCAGCGCAUACUGGUUUCCUUGAGUACGCACAACGUUGGCGGAAUUCGUCGUGUAGCGGUGAAAUGCUUAGAUAUGACGAAGAACUCCGAUUGCGAAGGCAGCUGACGGGAGCGCAACUGACGCUUAAGCUCGAAGGUGCGGGUAUCGAACAGGAUUAGAUACCCUGGUAGUCCGCACAGUAAACGAUGGAUGCCCGCUGUUGGUACCUGGUAUCAGCGGCUAAGCGAAAGCAUUAAGCAUCCCACCUGGGGAGUACGCCGGCAACGGUGAAACUCAAAGGAAUUGACGGGGGCCCGCACAAGCGGAGGAACAUGUGGUUUAAUUCGAUGAUACGCGAGGAACCUUACCCGGGCUUGAAUUGCAGAGGAAGGAUUUAGAGAUAAUGACG